GUGAAUACUAAACACAGAACCUAGUACACUUUAUUUUUUAACAGAGAGCUGAUGGUCGCUGCAAAUCAGCAAAAAAUAAUUUGGAAGUUCCAGUUCUAUGAUGUGUGCUUUUUGAAAUAAGAAAAGCCGGUUAACAGCCGUUAUCUGUAAACAAGAGCAGCAAUUAAAGCUGAACUCGGGUGGUACCGCGAAUACAAAACUAUUUCGUCCCAAGA
rnacentral:ncRNA from 1 species